rnacentral:rRNA from 1 species
GACGAACCGUGCGAACGUUAUUCGGAAUCACUGGGCUUAAAGCGCGUGUAGGCGGGUGGGAACGUCGGCCGCUGAAAUCCCCCGGCUCAACCGGGGAAGGGGCGCCGAAACGGCCGCCUGGAGGGACGUAGGGGGAGCUGGAACUUCCGGUGGAGCGGUGAAAUGCGUUGAGAUCGGAAGGAACGCCCGUGGCGAAAGCGAGCUCCUGGACGUUUUCUGACGCUGAGACGCGAAAGCCAGGGGAGCGAACGGGAU